GUAACUUAAAGCAGGUAGAGCCUCAGUGUUCACAGUAAAACUGUAACUUAAAGCAGGUACAGCCUCAGUGUUCACAGUAAAACUGUAACUUAAAGCAGGUAGAGCCUCAGUGUUCACAGUAAAACUGUAACUUAAAGCAGGUAGAGCCUCAGUGUUCACAGUAAAACUGUAACUUAAAGCAGGUACAGCCUCAGUGUUCACAGUAAAACUGUAACUUAAAGCAGGUACAGCCUCAGUGUUCACAGUAAAACUGUAACUUAAAGCAGGUAGAGCCUCAGUGUUCACAGUAAAACUGUAACUUAAAGCAGGUAGAGCCUCAGUGUUCACAGUAAAACUGUAACUUAAAGCAGGUACAGCCUCAGUGUUCACAGUAAAACUGUAACUUAAAGCAGGUAGAGCCUCAGUGUUCACAGUAAAACUGUAACUUAAAGCAGGUACAGCCUCAGUGUUCACAGUAAAACUGUAACUUAAAGCAGGUAGAGCCUCAGUGUUCACAGUAAAACUGUAACUUAAAGCAGGUACAGCCUCAGUGUUCACAGUAAAACUAACUUAAA